GUAAACCUCUUUCAGCAGGGAAGAAGCGAAAGUGACGGUACCUGCAGAAGAAGCACCGGCUAACUACGUGCCAGCAGCCGCGGUAAUACGUAGGGUGCGAGCGUUGUCCGGAAUUAUUGGGCGUAAAGAGCUCGUAGGCGGUUUGUCGCGUCGAUUGUGAAAGCCCGGGGCUUAACCCUGGGUAUGCAGUCGAUACGGGCAGGCUAGAGUUCGGCAGGGGAGACUGGAAUUCCUGGUGUAGCGGUGAAAUGCGCAGAUAUCAGGAGGAACACCGGUGGCGAAGGCGGGUCUCUGGGCCGAUACUGACGCUGAGGAGCGAAAGCGUGGGGAGCGAACAGGAUUAGAUACCCUGGUAGUCCACGCCGUAAACGGUGGGCACUAGGUGUGGGCAACAUUCCACGUUGUCCGUGCCGCAGCUAACGCAUUAAGUGCCCCGCCUGGGGAGUACGGCCGCAAGGCUAAAACUCAAAGGAAUUGACGGGGGCCCGCACAAGCGGCGGAGCAUGUGGCUUAAUUCGACGCAACGCGAAGAACCUUACCAAGGCUUGACAUACAUCGGAAACGGCCAGAGA
rnacentral:rRNA from 1 species